CACUGUUUUUCCAUCCCCAGUUUACCCACCAGUGAUUGGCUAUGUCCUCCACUGUGGCCCGGCGCUCAGGGUUCACCAUCAGCAUCCAGCGAAUCAGUCCACGGGCAUCUAGCAGGAAACAGAACAAGAACAAUCUAGGCAGAGGUUGCGGCUGUACCUGAGGACUGGGUGGGCUCCUUGUACUCGCCGUUGCUAAUCUGGCGAAUGAGGUUCUUGUGGUCUCCCCCAUCGAAUGGCAUGGUCCCGUAGACCAGGGUGUACAACAGCACCCCCAGAGCCCAGCUGUCCACCUGGGGAAGAUGAAAACUCGGUCAUAAGCUGGUAACACACACACACACAACUGCCUACUCCACUACAUGUAUUUACUGUAUGCACAGUGUAUUAGAUAUGGAGUUAUGCAAUAAAAAAUCUACCUAGUUCUGU